rnacentral:tRNA from 1 species
UGGGAUAUAGCUCAGUUGAUAAAGAGUGUUGGCUUCACAUGCACAAGGCCCUGGGUUCAAUCCCCAGCACCAA